GCAGCCAGGGGAGAGGGGAAGGUACAGGGUACAGACUGGCCAGAGGUGGAGGGUUCCUGCCUCCUCCUAUGAGGGAUCAGUUCAACCUGGGGUUCCCCUGAGAUUCACUCCUCACCCCUAAUGGGCCCUUGAGAUGCCACCAGGAAGUGUGGGAGCUCAGUGACCAGGCAGCCACCUGGAUCACAGCCUACUAUGGGGCUUCUAACCCCAACCCUUGGCCUAUGGCCAGGCAAGACCCCGUAGUCCCUGAUCCCCAGUCCCCAAGCCAGGUGAGGAGACACCCAGGCUUAGGGCUGAGGGUGGAACAGCCACCGUGUGGAGGGCUUUCUUGGCAGAGAAUGUGGCAGGAAGGUGGGGAAUGAGGGGCAGUUCAGGUGUCCCCAGCCCUGAGGUCACCACUGGGCCCUAUCUCCUGAUUCUGAUCAGACAGCCCCGUCUGCCACUGCCCCUUGCACACCCACGCUACGAGCUGUGCCCAGCUGUUGCACAAGGGGAGGUGGGUAUACAGGUUUGGGGGUGCAGGUUGGGCUAGAGGCUCUGGUGGCAGAGAUGGGGAGAGUGAAACAGGCUGGCUGGGCAGAGUGGACAGUGAAGAUGCAGGAAGGGGACGGGAGGAAGGACAAUGACCGAGGAGCUGUGCGACCAGAGACCCUGAGGUCGGGGCUGGGAGAAGGGGGAGCUCUGGGGACAUCCCAGUGAGGAGCUGAGGAAGAAUGACAGCCCCUUACACAAGCCUAGCUGUGCCUCGACUUCCCUGUUGGAGAGUGGGAGCUCACCUUGCUGACCUCCCGGGCUGUUAAGGUAGCCUAAUGAGCUAAUAGUGGGGGAAGGACAGGCAGGCCCCCCCUGACUGCCCCUGGUGGGCAACCUGUGUGCCCGCUUGGGGUCAGUCUGGGGACCCCAGAGAGAGGCUGGGCCCAGGAUGCAAGGGGAGCAGGAAGGGCUGCCCUGCGCCCCUCUUCUGCUGAGCCUCCCUGACCUUUCUCCAUGGCAGCCAGGGCAGAGGUGUAUGGGGGUCUCUCCACAUACUCUUCUCCCACUCCUGGUCUCGUGGGUGGGAAUGGGAAUCCUUGAGGACUCACUGCCCACCUCCCCAGCUCAUCACCCAGGGACCACGGACUGAGUAAGUACCCCAGCUCAAGGCACUACUAGCCCCAGGGCCUCAGGAAGUCCCACUAAUACAAGAGGCUGAGGGUGACCCCCCACCAGGUCUCUGAUAGAAACACAAGGGGCGGAAAGGGGCAAGGGGCAAGGAGAGUGCAGGGCUGGAGGGGCUGUGAGCCUCUCCAGGCUGAGGUUCUCGGGCCCCUGCCCUGGGCACCUGGGUGUGAGGUCAGCCCCACAGCAGGGGGUGGCAUUGUGGGCGCAGGACACAUAAUUUCACUUCUCAGCCUCAGUUUCCCCACUUGUAAAGGGGAGAUCUCUGCCUCCUCCACCAACAAGUGAAUGAGCUUGGCCUUCUGAAGGGAAGGGUGGAACAUGGUGCCCAGGGUCCUGCCUGGGGGGACACGAAAACCCCAGGGCAGCCUGUCAGGCAUGGGGAUAAAUAUUUGUUGAGUGGAUAAGACGAUGAGAGAUGAUGAGGCAACCAGAUGUGAGUGAGCCCGGCUCCCGUGGCCACAGCUCCACUCAGACCCGUUUUCCACCUUAUUACCCUCCUUGCAAUGCACAGAGCUCUGGUGGGGGUGAGGGCGACUGCCAGCACCAGGACCCCACUCCUCCCACACAGUGUCAGCCCAGGAGGGCUCCCUGAGGGCUGGGGGCCGGAAAUCCAGGUGGCCUCACCCCAGCGCCCGGCUCACCCCCUCUCCCCUUUCCCAGCCCUGCCCCUCCCCAUGGAUUUACCCGCCCACCCCCACCCCAGGCCUGGCAGAACACAGCACUCCCGAGGGCUCGCGGCCCAGCCACAACCCACCGAUUUCCAGUGGGGAUGGCGGAGAGACCCAGACCUGGGGCGGGGGAAGGGGCCUCCGGGGUGGAUGCCCCCCGGCGAGGAAAGGCAGCGCGGUCAUCCCCAGCUGGCCCUGUGACCCGGAUGGGUGGCCUGAGGACUCCCAGCGCCCGGGGUAGGAGGUGUGUGUGGGUGUUUGUGAAACUAGAGCAAGAAGGGAGGUCACGGCCCCAGGGCCGGGCACGCAGGCUAUUGACAAGGCCUGAUUCCUGCGUCUCCCCCACCCCCGCGGGGCUGGACGGGCCUGGAGGCGGGCCAGGUGCAGCUCCCCCCGCAGCCUUCAGCCCCCAGCACAGAAGGAUGCGGGCGCCCCGAUGGAAGAGGCCUCUGACAACCAUAAUGAGAAAUGAAGUGAAGGGCCAGGGACCCCCAGACGGAUUUGAGAGACCACGAGCCGAUGGCAGAGAGGCACUCUGGAGGAGGCAGAAGGGGCACCUUGGCUCUGUGUGGUAGGGCAGGCGCAUCGUCCUCCAGGUCUCACUUGCCUGUGGAAUUGUCGCGGCUCUGGAGGGGGAUUCGCCCCACGCUGUGCGUGAAGAACACACCACUGAAUCCGAAGGCUGCAGAAACCAGAAUGUGAGAUGAAUGCCUGCUGUGCACUGGGUGCUGGGUGCAGAGGGCCGCUGGCGUCCUAGCGGAGAGAUGUGGACCGUGGCAGCCCGGGGGAUGCGGCAAUGCCAGGCUCUGGUGUGUCCCACGAAGAACAAUAAAGCAGGGUAACGAGCCAGAGUGAAGAAGGUGGCUAUUUCAGAUGGACCCAGUUGCUCUAACGCCACUUACUGGAAAGAUGACCCUUCACUGAAUGACUUUGGCCCUUUGUGGAAAAGCAGUUGGCCAUCCAUGCUGUGCGCCUGUGUCUGGGGUCCGUCCUGUCCCACCGAUGGGUGUGUCCCUGUCUGUGCCAGUGUCUGUUGCUAUCGUGAAUUACCCUGAUUUUUGACUGUCCUACCAGCCUUGCAUUCCUGGGAUAAAUUUCACCUGGUCAUGAAUAAUAAAAUCCCCUGGUUUUGGCACCAGGGUGAUGCUGGGCUCACAGAAUCAGCGGGAAGGCGUUCCCUCCUCUCCUCUUUCCUGGAAGUUAGUGGAGAAGUGAUGGUAUCACUUCCUUAGAUGUUGGUGAAUUCGCCGGGGAAGCCACCUGGGCCCGGGGCUGCCUUUCUGUGAAAAGGCUUUAACCGCAAAUUCCGUGUCUGUAAUGGUAGCGCCAUUUUCCUUGAUAUUACCACAUUUACUUAAAACUUUUGUGCCGCUAUUUAGUACCACUAGCUGGAACUAAGAGUUUCUCAAAUUGCCACAUAUCUCCACUGACACGGGGUUCUGUUUUGCUUUUAAAUGGCAUAGUAUUUUCUUUAAGGUGCCAGGUCACUGGUGGCAGGCAUGUCUGAGGGACUGGAUGAAGGUGGGCGAGGGCUCUGUUCUGUCCCGGCCGUGUGCGGGACUUGGCCUCUGACUCGGCCUGCAGGGCAGCCGACAUGUCCUUUUACCCAGCUGCAAACUUUCCCGGCCCGUCUGCUGCUGCCAGAGGCAGAGAUUUAAAACACCUUGGGGCUGGGGGGCCCUCCUGGCAGGCUCUCGGCUGUGCCAGGGUGCAGCCAGGGCCUCCUGGAGCUGGUUCCUGGUGCCCUGCCCUCGCCUGCGGCCUGGGCCCAGCAGCCAUGGGCCGGGGAGCCCGCUCCCCUCUUGCUCCUGGCCUUGCUCUGAAUCCAAGAUCGGGGCUGCGCUGUCCGAGGACUUGCUCAUCCCGGCAGAGGACGUGUGUGCCCACAGAAGGCGUGCGCGUCUGUGUGCACGCACAGAAGCCCUCCCUGAGUCCCUGGGAGACCCUCAGGAGCACUGGGGCAGCAAGGUCUCCAAAGCGCCGUGGCCAGGGGCUGCUGUACAGUGUGGGAAGGCCCUGGGUGGCCCUGCCUGAGCCAGGCCUAGGGGGGCUUUAUCUGGCUGCUGCCUGUCCACAUAGACCCAGCGUGAGCCUCAGAUCCAGCUGCAAACGGGCCUGUGCAAAGGCACAUCAGGUGGCACCCAGUGUGGCUGGAUCAAAUCAGGCCACCGAGAGAUGGCAGUGGUGGGAAGGGGCCCUGGGGCCACCAGCUCUGGAUGGAGUCAGGCUCAGGUUAGGGACAAGGCAGGAGGGCUGGGGGACAGGUGGGCAGAGGCAUGAGCAGGGCAGGCAGCCCCUGACCCAGGAGCUCAGGAUGGGUAUCGGCUAAGAAGGGGGCCAGUGAGGGCAUAGCAGCAGCCAAAAGGGCCAGGCAGGGGUGCUGGGGCUGAUAAGAGGCUGGAAAGGACAGGUAGGAGUCCCACAGGGCCCAGGGCCAGGGCGAGGCCCAGGGAAUCUGUGGAAGGCCAUUAAGCCCGGAAUGUGCCUGGAGCCACCGACGCAAGGGCCGCUUGCCUCUUCCUGGCUCCGUGUGCCAGGCUCGGUCCCGCCAGUGGCGCAUAGGUCACCCAUAUUCUGGCGCCAGCCACCCCUCUUCCUUGUCUCCUCCUUUUCGUCAGCCAGCCCAGAGCUCCGCUGCGCCCUCCCAUCUGGGCUGGGAUUCCCUGUGGAAAAAUCAGGUGGAUUCUCCAGGAGAUGGCUUCAAGCCAGCAGAGGUGGGUAUUGGGGCCCUGGAGCCGGGAAGCUGGGGUUGUCCACCGCCCCCCCUCGCAAGUUGCUGGC